CAGAAAUACUAGGCUCACGUGGAAUUAUUCGAAUCAUAUGUAAUAGGGCACCUGCUGCCCACUCAGCGCAUACCUCACAGGCUUCAGCGGUUCAGCUACGACGUGUUAGAUGAUCUUAUCAGGGCCAACUAGAGGUUAAAAUAUCUUGGCUUUGUUUGGGUUCAGACUUUAUCUCUACCACUUAUUAAAAUAUAGAAGGAGAAGCUUUCACCUUUGCUGUCAGAUUGCCGAGUAAUUUAACCUAGAGUUAACGUCGAUAGCAUCAUUCUUGUCGUGCCCGCUGGCGUGCAAGUGGCUCUUCUUUUAUUUCCCUUCUGGCAACGUCGAUAGCAUCAUUCUUGUCGUGCCCGCCUCGAAUACUCGCUGGCGUGCAUGUGGCUCUUCUUUUAUUGCUCCCUUCUGUCGUGCCCUGCACUAUAGACUUAUGGUGCUUCCAUGUUCCACGAAACCUCCCACUACCACCACGUCGUUGGCAAUGGAGCGGCCAUGAUGCAUUUUUCAAUCGCAUUAUCCUUCACAUACCCGUCCCACUGAGAACUUAUCUGCAGUAAACUUGCUUUUUUUUUCCGUCCUUCCCCUUGGUGCAUAUUUCUAUUCUCUUUUACUGUUCAUGCAUACCCUCCAAUUCAUGGCAUGCUCGGACAGAAGCCUGCAUAUCCACCAAAUAAAUCCGUCUUGUAUUUCAUGAACCUUGUUUUGCAUCCAGGCAGAGAACCCGGAUGAUCUUUAUGAAUAGGGCAUUAGAACCGGAGGUUGAAAUCUUCUAGAUUAAUAAGCAAGUUCUUGGAUCCGAGGACCUUGAUAGGACUCAUGCUUGAGCUGCGGCCUCGACCAGAGAUUUGAGCAUAUAUGUCUAAAAAGAUAGAGACUGUAAUUUCUUGGAAAUUCAGUAGCAUGCUGCUAUGGAGUUCAGAUUGACAUACCACAGCUGCCAAUGGAUAGACAUAUUUGCAAGUUUACAUCUUACUUUACAAAGAGUACCAGUAUCACCUGCCCUUCUCUGUUGCUUCUUUCCUUCUUCCACUCAUCAAUCGCAGUAAUCCUUCGGUUCUUCAGUUCUUCAGUCUUCCUCCUGUCUUCAUCUUUUUCGUUGGCGCUCCCAGCAUCAUACUGUUCCACUCUGAAGCGCCAUGAUUCCCUGAUCGAAGACACAAACACAACUCCGAGCAACACACAUGUAACUUUCACAUAUUCCAUGUACACAUAGACCCUCUGUUUCAUCAGUUCUCUGCACCAUCUUCCCGUGCCACCCACUUCUCCGGACACAAAUAACUCAAGAGCAGGAGGACGGUCCAGUAAACUUACCGGAUAAGGUCGCAAAUUCCUCUUUCUCGUGGAGAGCACACGCACAGUAUGAACACCAGGAAAUCCAAUUAACGGCAACCCAAGAUUAGUUGUCGUCAUCAUCUUUCCUGUGACCAACAGCAGAGCAAAUCUGGAACUUCGGUCGCAGCGGUAACAGAUCUGGUCAUGCUGAACUCCAGAUCUACCGAUCUGAGCACCCCGGCAAGGUAAAACAGCCGAUGUGACAGCAAAAGGGUGAAUUAAAGAAGCCAAGAAAUAAGCAAUGAAAGAAUAACCUAGCUGGCCCUGAGAUCUAACGUGCGGCGCUGCGCUAUGCCUGGAGGUAUGAGCCUUGUGGCAGCAGGUUAAGUUAGUUGGCGGCGCUCUCUUUGUGCGCGGCGGCGGGGACACCCGCCGCCGGCAGCGCUGGCUUCUCCUCGUGGAUGAAGAAAGCGUAGAAGCCCCCACAGGAGGUUGCCGCCGCCAUGGCCCAAACGACGAGUUUGACGGCGAGGGGCAUGAUUUCUGCAACCUUGUAGCUAAACAUGACGGUGAGCAGAGUCGUGAGCCCCCAUACGGCUGCCUUGACCGUCUCUCGCUUAGGGGAGUGGCGGUCCAGGCGCUCGUAGUAGCGCAGGCAGGCGAACAGGGCGACGAGGUCGAGGUAGGAGACCACAACGAAGAUGAUUGAGCCAGUGUCGCCGUUGGAGCGGUACACGGCCAUGCCGGAGUUGAACGUCAAGAAGAGGAAGCCAAGCGCCGUCAGCCAGGAGAAAUCGGCCAUCACUAUGGCUAGUUGUCGCCGGGGAGAUGAGCGCUUCUACUCCGAAUUAGCCAGCGUCUUCGUACCUAGGAUGCAUCGAAGAAGCAGAAGGGAGCCAUUAUCAGGAAUGAGGAAUCGAUUGCCUUUCUGGAACAAAGCUCAGUGAUCGAUAAUCCAUGGAAGAACAUCGACAGACUACGAAGAGCUUGCUCGAAUGGAUUGGAGAACCAUAAAAAUCGAAAAAAAAAACCAUACUGCUUCUUCUUUUUCCUACGAACCACCAGCUGAACCAAGAAAAGGUUGAAAGGAGGGACGUACCUUUCUACUUAUUGCUGCGCCACGGCAAUGCGCAUCUAGAACGCGGGGACCUUAAAUGGCUCUGUCGUCGGCAAGGCUCAAGAUACGCGGGU
rnacentral:lncRNA from 1 species